GGGAGACGUGRGCUGCAACGUUACCAAAGCCAAAUAUCUWUUCGAUCAGCAUUCGCUUUCAUCACAGGUUCUUUCCGAAAGAAAAAAGGACGUGGAGAAGGAAAAAAAGAAGAAAAGGAAGACGAA